rnacentral:lncRNA from 13 species
GCCAAAUAGAACCUAAAUGUUAUCAAAAUACUAAUUUAAAUCUCGCCACUGCCUGGACUUCCGUUUCUUCCCCUCCCCCAAUGUUGGUGCAGAGACUGAACAUGGAAAAGGGUAGAAAUUUAAGAAAGGGUCUGCGGAGUUUCAGAGCCAAGGAAAUAAUGAGACGAUUUCCCAAAAAGUGUAAGUGAAGAUUAGACCCAGGAAAAGAUGCUGCCCCUUCCUGGAAUUACAGAAACACAAAUUCGAACACCAGAAAGACAGGGCCACUUCUGGUUUCUGGUAUUGUUACAGAGGAAAAAAGUGACAGGGCCCCACUGUGGGGGUUGAAGGGGAGACACAGGGCAGGCUGGCGCCUGCCGCACUGCUUGUGGGAGUGGAAAUUGGGGGCCAGAGCGCACUAGUGACGUGGCCGUCACGUGACCAAGAGCCGCCUAGAGCUCAAGUCCUGCUAGUCGUCUCCGUCUGGGUACCAGCCCCCUAUUACUCUGCAGGCGUGUGGAGAAAGAAGGAAACUAGCUCGGACUGUGCAGGUUUGUAGGUCUGCUGGCCUGCAAGGCUCGGCGCAAGUCUCGGCGAGAGAAGGAGAAAACUGCCUUGGUUGGAACCUUUCAGUUCAGUGUGAAGAUUCAUCACAAGAGAGCUGCAGGAGCCUGGAAGAAGCUGAAGACUGCUACCCUCCAUCGUUACUCAUCCUGGACCUAAGAGACCUCUUCAAUCAGGUGGAGCAAGGCCCUCUCCUGUCCUGCCCCA